rnacentral:rRNA from 1 species
GACGUAGGGUGCAAGCGUUGUCCGGAAUUAUUGGGCGUAAAGAGCUCGUAGGCGGUUUGUUGCGUCGGCUGUGAAAUCCCGAGGCUCAACCUCGGGUCUGCAGUCGAUACGAGCAAACUAGAGUGUUGCAGGGGAGACUGGAAUUCCUGGUGUAGCGGUGAAAUGCGCAGAUAUCAGGAGGAACACCGGUGGCGAAGGCGGGUCUCUGGGCAACAACUGACGCUGGAGGAGCGAAAGCGUGGGGAGCGAACAGG